rnacentral:rRNA from 1 species
UACGGAAGGGGCAAGCGUUGUUCGGAAUCAUUGGGCGUAAAGGGCGCGUAGGUGGUUCUGUAUGUCUACCGUGAAAGCAUACAGCUCAACUGGAUUUUGUCGGUAGAAACUGCAGGACUUGAGGCUGGGAGGGGCUGGUGGAAUUCCCUGUGUAGCGGUGAAAUGCGUAGAGAUGGGGGAGAACACUCGUGGCGAAGGCGGCCAGCUAGACCAGUUCUGACACUGAGACGCGACAGCGUGGGGAGCAAACAGG